rnacentral:rRNA from 1 species
GACGAACGCUGGCGGCGUGCUUAACACAUGCAAGUCGAACGAGAAUCUACUGAAAGAGUUUUCGGACAAUGGAAGUAGAGGAAAGUGGUGGACGGGUGAGUAACGCGUGAGGAACCUGCCCUGAAGAGGGGGACAACAGUUGGAAACGACUGCUAAUACCGCAUGACGCAUAGAGGUCGCAUGAUCUUUAUGCCAAAGAUUUAUCGCUUCAAGAUGGCCUCGCGUCUGAUUAGCUGGUUGGCGGGGUAACGGCCCACCAAGGCGACGAUCAGUAGCCGGACUGAGAGGUUGAACGGCCACAUUGGGACUGAGAUACGGCCCAGACUCCUACGGGAGGCAGCAGUGGGGAAUAUUGGGCAAUGGGCGCAAGCCUGACCCAGCAACGCCGCGUGAAGGAAGAAGGCUUUCGGGCUGUAAACUUCUUUUAAGAGGGAAGAGCAGAAGACGGUACCUCUAGAAUAAGCCACGGCUAACUACGUGCCAGCAGCCGCGGUAA